UUUCCGUAGGUGAACCUGCGGAAGGAUCAUUAUUGUAUAACCGAGGUGCGAGGGCUGUCGCUGACCCGAAAGGUCGUGCACGCCCGAGUGCCCUCACACACAUCCAUCUCACCCCUAUGUGCACCACCGCGUGGGUCCCCCUUUGGCUUGUUCGGAGGGGGGCUUACGUUUUCACACAAGCUCUGUAUGCAGUGUAGAAUGUAUUUUUUGUUUUUGCGAUCACGCAAUCAAUACAACUUUCAACAACGGAUCUCUUGGCUCUC
rnacentral:misc_RNA from 1 species